GAUUAACGCUGGCGGCAUGCCUAAUACAUGCAAGUCGAACGGAAGCAGCAAUGCUUUAGUGGCGAACGGGUGAGUAACACGUAGGGAACCUACCUAUACGACGAGGAUAACUACUGGAAACGGUAGCUAAAAACUGGAUAGGAUCAAUUGAGGCAUCUUGAUUGAUUUAAAGAUCCUUCGGGAUUACGUAGAGAUGGCCCUGCGGCGCAUUAGCUAGUUGGUGAGGUAACGGCCCACCAAGGCGACGAUGCGUAGCUGAGCUGAGAGGCUAAACAGCCACACUGGGACUGAGACACGGCCCAGACUCCUACGGGAGGCAGCAGUAGGGAAUUUUCGGCAAUGGGGGAAACCCUGACCGAGCAAUGCCGCGUGAACGAUGAAGGUCUUCGGAUUGUAAAGUUCUGUGAUUGGGGAAGAAUGGUAUUCUUAGGGAAUGAGGAGUACAUGACGGUACCCGAUUAGAAAGCCCCGGCUAACUAUGUGCCAGCAGCCGCGGUAAUU
rnacentral:rRNA from 1 species